AUAAAGCUUGAUUCUGGCUUUAAUUUUAUUUAUUUCUCAGUAGUUAUACAUGUAAAUAUUUGUUUGGUUUUGAAUCUGAAUGAAAAAAAAUUAUUAUUUGCAGUAUUUUAUUUUAUUUUUUUUAGGGUUGUCUAGAAAUAGCUAAUUGAGUUUAAGUUCUGACCUAAGUUGUGCCAGCAGUCGCGGUUAUACAACGGGAGCAAGUGAAUUUUUUUGGAUUUUAUUUAAUUUGUAUGUUUACUUUAAAUUUAAAUUUUUUGGGUGAAAUUGUAGAGUUUAUGUAAAAGUAUGGUUUAUGAUUAGAAUAUGAAGAUUUAAUGUGAGACUAGGAUUAGAUACCCUAUUAUUAUUAAUUGUGAAUUUUUGGAAUCCUUGUUAUUAAUAGCUAUGUUCUUAAAAUUAAAAGAAUUUGGCGGUAAUUUAGUCCUUUCAGAGGAAUCUGCCCUGUAAUUGAUAGUCCACGAUUAAUUUUACUUUAUUUAAGCUUGUAUAUCUCUGUCAUUGGAUGUUUUAUUAGAAUAUAUUUUCGUUUAAUUUUAUGAGGGUAAUGUCAGGUCAAGGUGCAGCAAUAAUAAAGAAGUGGUGGAUUACAUUAAAUGUAUUUAUGGAUUAAUUGAAGAGCUGGAAGUAUGGUUGUUUAUGAAAUUGGAUUUGAUAGUAAUUUUUAUUAAAAUAUAAUUUUGAUUUUGGCUCUAAAUUAUGUACACAUCGCCCGUCACUCUCAUUAGUUAAGAUGAGAUAAGUCGUAACAAAGUAGACCUACUGGAAGGUAGGCCUGGUAAGAAA
rnacentral:ncRNA from 1 species